GCUCUGUGGUCCAGGUCUGUGUACACAGGAUGUCUGUCUGCAGCCUGGUCCAGCGGCUGUCUAUGUCUCUGACCCAGUUGCGUCUUCUGCUCCUUGUUUUGCCUUCUCUUUGCUUGUAAUGACGCGCUCCCACACACACUGUGAAGUGAAGGACUCUUUAGACCAGAUUGUCUGUCUUUCUGCUCAGCAGCUCCAGCUGCCGGAAGUACCCAGGAGAGGUCCUGAGAUGCCACUGAAGUCACUGUUCCUAACAUAGCAGCAAAGGAGAACAAACUUUACCCGCCACCUCUCUCUGCUGGCGUGUGGGACCCAGAUAUCAGAAGCACAGAGUCUAACUAAAGCAGCCUACAGGUAGUCCCACCUGCAGCUGCUGCCUCUUUGACACUCAAAGGCUCCUUUAUUUCUUCCGUCGCUGUGCUGCGCAGAGUUUUCUGUUGGAUUGACACAAGCUAGAGACGUCAGGGAAGAGGGAACAUCAACGGAGAAAAUGCCCCCAGCAGAAUGACCUGCAGGCAAGCCUUCGAGACCUUUUCUUAAUUGAGGACUGUGGUGUGGCUGUGCUCUGCUCACUGUGGUCAGUGCCAUCUCUGGGCUUGGUGGUGUAAGAAAGCAGACUAAGCAAGCUGAGAGCAGCAGGCCCGUAAGCAGCCUUCCUUCAUGACCUUUGCUUCAAUUCCUGGCACCAGGUUCCUGCCCUGCCUGAGUUCCUGCCUUGGCUUCCCUUGAUGACAGAUUGUAGCGUGUAAGAUGAAACAAUCCCUGUUCUCUACAAGCUGCUUUUGGUUGCGGUGUUCAUCGCAGUGAUAGAAAGCCGUAAGACAUUUACCUGGUUAGUGACUUUUAGUCCUAGUUAACUCUUUCUUGUUUACCUCCUCUUUGUGUGCAGUUCGUGUAAUAGGAUCCUUACACCUUCUCGGUAGGACUGUGAGGAGAGGUAGGGGAAGUGGCCCAGCUCCAGUGAGAACUCAAUAAAUGUUAACUGUGUGACCCAGAGAGCACAGAUAAGGGGCCAGUAAAACUAGAAGUGACACAGGUGGACUUUCAGAUAGGAGUGCCGCAACCUAUGAACCUUAGAGACUGUGACAGGCGUAUGUGGGCUUUCCAACGACAGGCACAGAUCAAGUGUCAGUAUCAGAGAUCCCAGUAUUAAAUCACAGAUACCAUUGGUUGUCACACCCAUUAGUUUUGUGUGUUACUACAGAAAUAAAAAAUCACCACGAAUU